rnacentral:rRNA from 1 species
UACGAAGGGUGCAAGCGUUAAUCGGAAUUACUGGGCGAAAGCGCGCGUAGGUGGUUUGGUAAGUUGGAUGUGAAAGCCCCGGGCUCAACCUGGGAACUGCAUCCAAAACUGCCUGACUAGAGUACGGUAGAGGGUGGUGGAAUUUCCUGUGUAGCGGUGAAAUGCGUAGAUAUAGGAAGGAACACCCAGUGGCGAAGGCGACCACCUGGACUGAUACUGACACUGAGGUGCGAAAAGCGUGGGGAGCAAACAGG